AACUAACGCUGGCGGCGUGCCUAACACAUGCAAGUCGUACGAGAAAGCCGGCUUCGGCUGGUGAGUAAAGUGGCGCACGGGUGAGUAACGCGUGGAUAAUCUGCCCUUAAGUGUGGAAUAACGUACCGAAAGGUGCGCUAAUACCGCAUAAUGCCUGGGCAACACAAGUUGUCCGGCCAAAGAAGGCCUCUGUUUACAAGCUUUCGCUUCAGGAUGAGUCCGCGUACCAUUAGCUUGUUGGUGGGGUAAUGGCCUACCAAGGCUGCGAUGGUUAGCUGGUCUGAGAGGAUGAUCAGCCACACUGGAACUGAGACACGGUCCAGACUCCUACGGGAGGCAGCAGUGAGGAAUAUUGCGCAAUGGGGGCAACCCUGACGCAGCAACGCCGCGUGAGUGAGGAAGGUUUUCGGACGUGUAAAGCUCUGUCGAGCGGGAAGAAGUGUACCAUGGCUAAUAUCCAUGAUAUUUGACGGUACCG
rnacentral:rRNA from 1 species